GCGCCCCCGCCGGUGCCCAGGCGGGUGCCGAGCCCCGCGGCCCGCGGGCCGGACGGAUCCAGGGACUCGCCGCGGCCGGCCGGGAUUCGAAAGGCCAGCGUCCCGAAACCUGUCCACGCGGAUGGCGGAGGUGCGGCCAGCGGCCCAGGGCGCCGUUGCUUUGGGAAAACUCUCCGGAAGCUCCGUCUGAAACCUCUGCCUCAAAACCACGUCGUCCAGGAGGGCAUUCCGGAGGCUCAUUUUUAACAGGCAGGAGAAAGCAGCACAACGGAAGGCACACUCCGUACCCAAGGCAUUGAA
rnacentral:lncRNA from 1 species